rnacentral:lncRNA from 1 species
GGUCAGAGCGCGGGAGGCGGCGGGCCCAGGGCUCAAAAUGCCAGACGCAAUGUCUAACAAGGAUGGAGACAAGAAAAGAGAUUGUAGACCUUUAAAAAACAAGAAGGCAGUAAGUACCUGUUUCAUCAGCAUAAGGGCUAUUUGUAUGUAAGGAUGGAAGGAGCCUGGGAGCCUGAAUGGGGGAAAGUUGUCCAAUGACUAAGGACACCUGCUUUUAACAGCAAAGGAUACAGUCAACAAAACUCAAAGACAACCUACAGAAUGGGAGAAGAUAUUUGCAAAUGACAUAUCAGAUAAAGGGCUAGUUUCCAAGAUCUAUAAAGAACUUAUUAAACUCAACACCA